GAGAAAGGUUUUUGACCGAUGUAAAGUUUUCUUCUUUUACAUCAAAAGUUUAUACAAGUAGUGAUAAAAUGACAGAUAGGGCUCAUACAUCCAAGUGACAGAGAGUGUACAAAUUUAAAACCAUGGCUUUUGAUUUUUCCUUACAAAGUGGCGGGCGUUCAACUUCUCUGGGGAGGAAAUGACUGCUCCACCUACCCUUGGAGGCUUGGGAUUGGCAAAGCGCCAUUCUUCAAUGAGCAAACCACCGUGCCUCAUCAGCAGCUGGCGGUGGUCUAUCACCGCCUCCGCUUCCACUUCCGCAACCUUGUUACCACUUUCCAUCUCUCUUUCUUCCCUAUAAAUCACAUACCUCCUCUUCCCUUCACUCUUACCAUCCCUUUCCGCAGCUUCACUCUUGGGGAACCUAAAAUGAGGAUUUCCCAACUUCUCCAUACUCCUGUCCUUGAACUCUGCUUCUUUUCUUUUCGAGCUUUGCUUAUUGUUGCUCUCCAAGAUUGCUGAUUUAUAGAGGUGAAAAGUUUAGGAAUCUCCUCUAUGUUUUUGUUUAAUUUUGGGGUGGGUAAUUCCCUCAGUAUCCAAACCGCCCAAAUCUAGUUGGGUGGUUGUCAGGUAUCUCCAUCUCCACUGGGGAUGGUGCAGAGUUAGAGGCAAGAAAACAUAGAUGCUAAGUGUUGGUUCUUGUAUUUCGCACGCUACUUAGUGAGAGGUUAAGGACUUGGUUUGAGUGAAUGAACCUUUUUUGGUCAAUUCGGUGGAUUCACU
rnacentral:lncRNA from 1 species